GACGAACGCUGGCGGCGUGCUUAACACAUGCAAGUCGAGCGGCGCGGCGAACGGGUGAGUAACGCGUGAGUAACUGCCCCCCUCUCUGGGAUAACAGUUGGCAACGGCUGCUAAUACCGGAUAGUGGGGGAUGACUCGCGUCCUAUCGGCUUGUUGGUUGGGUAGUGGCCUACCAAGGCGACGACGGGUAGCCGGCCUGAGAGGGCGACCGGCCAAAGUGGGCUGAGGUACGGCCCAAACGCCUACGGGGGGCAGCAGGCGGGAAUAUGGCACAAUGGGGGAAACCCUGAUGCAGCAACGCCGCGGGCGGGAUGACGGCCUUCGGGUUGGAAACCGCUUUCAGCCAUGACGCGGUAGUGGCAGAAGAAGCACCGGCUAACUCCGUGCCAGCCGCCGCGGUAAUUC
rnacentral:rRNA from 1 species